rnacentral:rRNA from 1 species
UUCGGAUUGUAGUCUGCAACCCGACUACAUGAAGCUGGAAUCGCUAGUAAUCGCGGAUCAGAAUGCCGCGGUGAAUACGUUCCCGGGUCUUGUACACACCGCCCGUCACACCAUGGGAGUCGGAAAUGCCCGAAGUCUGUGACCUAACCGUAAGGAAGGAGCAGCCGAAGGCAGGUCGGAUGACUGGGGUGAAGUCGUAACAAGGUAAC